rnacentral:tRNA from 1 species
UGGUGCAGUGGUUAAAGCGCUUGGCUGCUAACCAAAGGGUCGGUGGUUCGAAUCCACC